UACGGAGGGUGCGAGCGUUAAUCGGAAUUACUGGACGUAAAGCGCACGUAGGCGGACUGGAAAGUUGGGGGUGAAAUCCCGCAGCUCAACUGCGGAACUGCCUUUGAUACUGGAUAUCUAGAGACCGAGAGAGGUAAGUGGAACUCCUAGUGUAGAGGUGGAAUUCGUAGAUAUUAGGAAGAACACCAGUGGCGAAGGCGGCUUACUGGCUCGGAACUGACGCUGAGGUGCGAAAGCGUGGGGAUCAAACAGG
rnacentral:misc_RNA from 1 species